GAUGAACGCUGGCGGCGUGCCUAAUACAUGCAAGUCGAGCGAACGGACGAGAAGCUUGCUUCUCUGAUGUUAGCGGCGGACGGGUGAGUAACACGUGGAUAACCUACCUAUAAGACUGGGAUAACUUCGGGAAACCGGAGCUAAUACCGGAUGAUAUUUUGAACCGCAUGGUUCAAAAGUGAAAGACGGUCUUGCUGUCACUUAUAGAUGGAUCCGCGCUGCAUUAGCUAGUUGGUAAGGUAACGGCUUACCAAGGCAACGAUGCAUAGCCGACCUGAGAGGGUGAUCGGCCACACUGGAACUGAGACACGGUCCAGACUCCUACGGGAGGCAGCAGUAGGGAAUCUUCCGCAAUGGGCGAAAGCCUGACGGAGCAACGCCGCGUGAGUGAUGAAGGUCUUCGGAUCGUAAAACUCUGUUAUUAGGGAAGAACAUAUGUGUAAGUAACUGUGCACAUCUUGACGGUACCUAAUCAGAAAGCCACGGCUAACUACGUGCCAGCAGCCGCGGUAAUACGUAGGUGGCAAGCGUUAUCCGGAAUUAUUGGGCGUAAAGCGCGCGUAGGCGGUUUUUUAAGUCUGAUGUGAAAGCCCACGGCUCAACCGUGGAGGGUCAUUGGAAACUGGAAAACUUGAGUGCAGAAGAGGAAAGUGGAAUUCCAUGUGUAGCGGUGAAAUGCGCAGAGAUAUGGAGGAACACCAGUGGCGAAGGCGACUUUCUGGUCUGUAACUGACGCUGAUGUGCGAAAGCGUGGGGAUCAAACAGGAUUAGAUACCCUGGUAGUCCACGCCGUAAACGAUGAGUGCUAAGUGUUAGGGGGUUUCCGCCCCUUAGUGCUGCAGCUAACGCAUUAAGCACUCCGCCUGGGGAGUACGACCGCAAGGUUGAAACUCAAAGGAAUUGACGGGGGCCCGCACAAGCGGUGGAGCAUGUGGUUUAAUUCGAAGCAACGCGAAGAACCUUACCAAAUCUUGACAUCCUUUGACAACUCUAGAGAUAGAGCCUUCCCCUUCGGGGGGGACAAAGUGACAGGUGGUGCAUGGUUGUCGUCAGCUCGUGUCGUGAGAUGUUGGGUUAAGUCCCGCAACGAGCGCAACCCUUAAGCUUAGUUGCCAUCAUUAAGUUGGGCACUCUAAGUUGACUGCCGGUGACAAACCGGAGGAAGGUGGGGAUGACGUCAAAUCAUCAUGCCCCUUAUGAUUUGGGCUACACACGUGCUACAAUGGACAAUACAAAGGGCAGCGAAACCGCGAGGUCAAGCAAAUCCCAUAAAGUUGUUCUCAGUUCGGAUUGUAGUCUGCAACUCGACUACAUGAAGCUGGAAUCGCUAGUAAUCGUAGAUCAGCAUGCUACGGUGAAUACGUUCCCGGGUCU
rnacentral:rRNA from 1 species